rnacentral:rRNA from 1 species
AUUGAACGCUGGCGGCAGGCUUAACACAUGCAAGUCGAGCGAGCGGCGGACGGGUGAGUAAUGUCUGGGAAACUGCCUGAUGGAGGGGGAUAACUACUGGAAACGGUAGCUAAUACCGCAUACCAUCAGAUGUGCACAGAUGGGAUUAGCUAGGAGGUGGGGUAAUGGCUCACCUAGGAGACGAUCCCUAGCUGGUCUGAGAGGAUGACCAGCCACACUGGAACGGAGACACGGUCCAGACUCCUACGGGAGGCAGCAGUGGGGAAUAUUGCAUCAGUGACUCAAGCCUGGUGCAGCCAUGCCGCGUGGGGGAAGAAGGCCUUCGGGUUGUAAAGCACUUUCAGCGAGGAGGCGUUACUCGCAGAAUAAGCACCGGCUAACUCCGUGCCAGCAGCCGCGGUAAUAC